AGACACAUAUGAGAUGGUCAAGAA
rnacentral:siRNA from 1 species